rnacentral:tRNA from 1 species
GCAUUCGUGGUGUAGUGGUCAGCACGCUCGACGCGUAACUGAGAGGUCCGUGGUUCGAUUCCCGGUGAAGGCG